CAGUAGCCACGGGAAUACAGAGGGUGCAAGCGUUAAUCGGAAUUACUGGGCGUAAAGCGCGCGUAGGUGGUUUGUUAAGUUGGAUGUGAAAUCCCCGGGCUCAACCUGGGAACUGCAUCCAAAACUGGCAAGCUAGAGUAUGGUAGAGGGUGGUGGAAUUUCCUGUGUAGCGGUGAAAUGCGUAGAUAUAGGAAGGAACACCAGUGGCGAAGGCGACCACCUGGACUGAUACUGACACUGAGGUGCGAAAGCGUGGAGAGCAAACAGGAUUAGAUACCCCGGUAGUCCCUGUCUCUUAUAA
rnacentral:rRNA from 1 species